rnacentral:rRNA from 1 species
UAGUCCACGCCGUAAACGAUGUCAACUAGCUGUUGGAAAACUAUGUUUUUCAGUGGCGCAGCUAACGUAGUAAGUUGACCGCCUGGGGAGUACGGCCGCAAGGCUAAAACUCAAAGGAAUUGACGGGGACCCGCACAAGCGGUGGAGUAUGUGGUUUAAUUCGAUGCAACGCGAAAAACCUUACCAAGGUUUGAAAUCAUUUCAAAACUCUUUGAAAGAAGAGCCUCCUUCGGGAUGGAAUGACAGGUGGUGCAUGGCUGUCGUCAGCUCGUGUUGUGAAAUGUCAAGUUAAGUCUUGUAACGAGCGCAACCCAUGUCUUUUGUUGCUGUUUACAGUGCUUAAAAGAGACUGCCGCUCUACAGCGGAGGAAGGUGUGGAUGAUGUCAAGUCAGCAUGCCCCUUAUAUCUUGGGCUACACACGUACUACAAUGGUAGGGACAAUGGGUCGCAAACCUGCGAAGGCUAGCCAAUCUCAAAAACCCUAUCUCAGUUCGGAUUGUACU